GUAGUCAUAUGCUUGUCUCAAAGAUUAAGCCAUGCAUGUCUAAGUAUAAGCAAUUUGUACGGUGAAACUGCGAAUGGCUCAUUAAAUCAGUUAUCGUUUAUUUGAUAGUACCUUACUACAUGGAUACCUGUGGUAAUUCUAGAGCUAAUACAUGCUAAGAACUCCAACUUCGGAAGGAGUGUAUUUAUUAGAUAAAAAACCAAUGCCCUUCGGGGCUCCUUGGUGGAUCAUAAUAACCUAACGAAUCGCAUGGCCUUGCGCCGGCGAUGGUUCAUUCAAAUUUCUGCCCUAUCAACUUUCGAUGGUAGGAUAGUGGUCUACCAUGGUGGCAACGGGUAACGGGGAAU
rnacentral:rRNA from 1 species